UAAUAGUGCAGGUCAUUGCACGCUGUAUACUCGUGCAAUCGAAUUAACGUUUAAGCGGUAUGUAAUAUCGUCGACCACGAG
rnacentral:sRNA from 12 species